CAUUGUGUUUUAUUUACCAGCUUGCUUUUAAAGAGCCAGGACCAGUCCACUAGCUGUGCAGAGUGCUGACCUCUUGGAUGAGAGCCCUGACCUCAUAGGAUAUCUGAGCUUGUCAUAAUUCAGGUGGGUUCUGUAGGGAAGCAGGGGCUCGUGGGGAGUGGGAGGAAGCUGGGGAGAAGAUGAGUUGAGAGCAGUCCAGUGUGAGGGAAAGUGGGGAUCCUGGGCCAACUUACCAUUAAGAGGGUCCAGUCCUGUGACUGCUGUGAAGUAACCAGGAUUCCACAUAGAGAUGGGGCUCAAAGUCAGCCCAGGAGCAGCACUGUGGUCCCAGAACUAAUAUUUGGCGACUCCAAGGCCAGGGAUAAAAAUGAAGAGAUGGAGAGACAAGAUUUCCUGGCCUCUAAUUGGCAGCACCCGUUGACUCUGCUCGUGACCAGACUCAUGAACGCUUCAUCCAAGGUUUCAUGUCAUCCGUGUGAGGAACCUCUCUGAUUUGAGAAAAUCUUUCUUAAAAUGGGCUUCUAGUUGUAAAGCCAUUGUCUUUUUAGGAAAUCAUCAAAUACCUUAAAGCUAGACACGCAAUCAGCUGCAUAAAUGACACACUCACUAAAUCAAUCCUUUAUCAGGUGAUCCUGAUGCUCAUGGCCAUGCAUUGAGAACAACUGUGUAAGAAGAUAUGGAUAAUGCUUGAAAACUACUAGUAUUAGCACCAUUUUGGUUGAUCCUGGUUUGGGAAGCUUCCAGCUUGGAAUGAUUACAAUAGAAAGAAGCUGUUCUCCUGAUUCUUCCUGAUGCUGACACACCUUCUCUUUUUAAAAACAAUAGCAUGGCACCUUUGAUUACUGUUAUAAAGUCCAGAGGUCUUCAGACUGGGGCACACCCACCCAGGGGGGUAUAUAAAGACUUUGUAAGGGGCACUUGGGCAUCGAAGUGUUGGGUUAUGUGUCCUCAACUUUCCUAUCGUCGAGUUCCUAAAACAGACUUGCAUAAGAACCUCUGGGCUGGGAGUUAUUUACCCUCUCCUACAUCUCUUCCUUUCUAUCAUCCUUUUGCUACUCUACAAAGGAAAGGCACCACCCUCCCCCAUCCCAA
rnacentral:lncRNA from 1 species